UUCUUCUUCUUCUUGUUUUCUUGAGAAGAGGGUGAUGAAAAAUUGUUGAUAAGGGUUUAAUUUUUCGAUUUUUUGCAUUAGAAGGAGGAUAUGACGACGACCCAGAAUAGGCGUUCGUCAGUUUCGAGUGCGGUGGCGAAGAGACAAGCAAUGGUGGCGAAUUCAUCGGGGUUGGAGAAUAAUCAGGCCGGAAAAUUGAAUGCUGGAGCGACCAUGAAACGACCGGCAAUUUAUACUAUCUCGGAUUCGUACAACUGUAUCAGCUCGUAACGCGAUUUCUCAUUCCUCCAAACUUGUACAUUUUCCCAAAAUUAUAGGUGGGAAAAAUGCACCGUCUCCAAUUGGGGAACUUGGAAUGGUAGAAAUGACCCCGGCUCUGGAACUAAUUGAUGUUUGCUAUAAGCAGGCUAUUAAUGGUGGCAAAUGCAGGAGACUGCCGAGCAGUACUUUGCCGUAACGUCAAUUGACAUGUCUCAAGACCACACUAAAUUAUCCAUCAGAGAGGAGGCGUGUUGAAGGUGGAUUUAUUGAUGAUGGCUAU